UGAUAAGCGCUGAAAGCAUCUAAGCGCGAAGCGAGCCCUGAGAUGAGUCUUCCCUGACAGUUUAACUGUCCUAAAGGGUUGUUCGAGACUAGAACGUUGAUAGGCAGGGUGUGUAAGCGUUGUGAGGCGUUGAGCUAACCUGUACUAAUUGCCCGUGAGGCUUAACCAUACAACACCCAAGGGGUUUUGUA
rnacentral:rRNA from 1 species